rfam:Triticum urartu cultivar G1812 contig1062824, whole genome shotgun sequence.
CUUCUACUCCCUCCGUUCGGAAAUACUUGUCUUAAAAAUGGUUGAAAAUGAAUAUAUCUAUAACUAAAAUAAAUCUAGAUACAAUUAUUUCUAGGACAAAUAUUUCCGAACUGAGGGAGUAUUUC